rnacentral:rRNA from 1 species
UACGUAGGUGGCAAGCGUUGUCCGGAUUUACUGGGCGUAAAGGGCGUGCAGGCGGUUUGUUAAGUCUAGGGUGAAAGCUCCCGGCUCAACUGGGAGAGGUCCUUGGAUACUGGCAAACUUGAGGGAGGCAGAGGAGAGUGGAAUUCCCGGUGUAGUGGUGAUAUGCGUAGAUAUCGGGAGGAACACCAGUGGCGAAGGCGGCUCUCUGGGCCUUUCCUGACGCUGAGACGCGAAAGCGUGGGGAGCGAACAGG